rnacentral:rRNA from 2 species
ACAUGCAGUCGAGCGGUAGAGAGGUGCUUGCACCUCUUGAGAGCGGCGGACGGGUGAGUAAUGCCUAGGAAUCUGCCUGGUAGUGGGGGAUAACGCUCGGAAACGGACGCUAAUACCGCAUACGUCCUACGGGAGAAAGCAGGGGACCUUCGGGCCUUGCGCUAUCAGAUGAGCCUAGGUCGGAUUAGCUAGUUGGUGGGGUAAUGGCUCACCAAGGCGACGAUCCGUAACUGGUCUGAGAGGAUGAUCAGUCACACUGGAACUGAGACACGGUCCAGACUCCUACGGGAGGCAGCAGUGGGGAAUAUUGGACAAUGGGCGAAAGCCUGAUCCAGCCAUGCCGCGUGUGUGAAGAAGGUCUUCGGAUUGUAAAGCACUUUAAGUUGGGAGGAAGGGCAUUAACCUAAUACGUUAGUGUUUUGACGUUACCGACAGAAUAAGCACCGGCUAACUCUGUGCCAGCAGCCGCGGUAAUACAGAGGGUGCAAGCGUUAAUCGGAAUUACUGGGCGUAAAGCGCGCGUAGGUGGUUCGUUAAGUUGGAUGUGAAAUCCCCGGGCUCAACCUGGGGAACUGCAUUCAAAACUGUCGAGCUAGAGUAUGGUAGAGGGUGGUGGAAUUUCCUGUGUAGCGGUGAAAUGCGUAGAUAUAGGAAGGAACACCAGUGGCGAAAGCGACCACCUGGACUGAUACUGACACUGAGUGCGAAAGCGUGGGGAGCAACAGGAUUAGAUACCCUGGUAGUCCACGCCGUAACGAUGUCAACUAGCCGUUGGGA